rnacentral:lncRNA from 1 species
GACCAGACAUAAAUGGUGUGUUUUCCUGUCUAACAGUGAUCUCCUGAUGUCCUGGAACUGGCAACAGAAAAUUACAUCAAAUGCCAAGGAAACAGCAUGAAGUAAGCAUGACAAGUUCACUUGGAGCAUCGCAACACUGAUCAUCAUAAUGGUUCGUUUUUCUAAUCUCCAGAAAUGAACCGCCUUUGUUUAUUAUUUGAGUGUAUGUAUGCAUGCUCAUGCAUGAACAUGUACAGAUGUGCAAGGGCCGCCAUCCAUGUGGAGGUCAGAGGACAACUCAUGGGAGUCAGUUCUGUCUACCAUUUGGGUUCGGAGAAUUGGCAGCAAGAACCUUUAACCACUGAGUCAUCUUGUCAGUCCAUCGCUUGGGUUAGGUUCACAUUUGCAUCUUAUGGUUUCUCGGCUCUCUGGUCUGUAUUCUUGCCAGCUUGAAACAGACUUGUAAAAUGUUAGCGAUGAUAACCAUCCUUGAAGUAAUGUUAAUGAGCAAAAGGCAAUUUGGCUACUCCCAUCAUCCUGAAUCUGACUCAGCUCAUUUUUCCCCUGAAUCUGACUCAGCUCAUUUCCCCCUCUGUAUUGAAACAGGAGAGUUCUCAACAAUUGAACCAGAAACAUAGGAAAUGAAUGAAAAUGCACCAGAUAUGAUAUUGAUUUUACAGCAUCAACAAGAGUC